GAACAUGAUGAUCACUGAUUGUCGCCCCAGUCUUACAAGCAUAUAAUGCUUAAUGGUGAUUGACUAUUGUUAUCGAUCUGAUUC